UUUAUUGCUUAAAAUGAAAU
rnacentral:miRNA from 1 species